rnacentral:lncRNA from 1 species
AUUUGAAAUUAAAAUCAAAUUGAAAAAUUAAAAAAAAUCAAAUGAUUAAAAUCCAUUUUAUAAUCAAAAGCACCAUGAUCAAAAAGGCAUAGACAAUGACCAAUGUGUAACAAAAAUAUGAAUGUAUGCAAAUGAACCUUAGGCCAAGUGCCAAACAAAAAAUGAAAAAAAAAAAAAAAAAUUCAGGACCAAAAUCGGGGUAUGACAG